rnacentral:rRNA from 1 species
GCAUAUCAGUCAGCGGAGGAAAAGAAAGCAACUGCGAUUGCCCUAGUAACGGCGAGUGAAGCGGCAGCAGCCCAGAUUUGGAAUCUGGCUCCCUUGCGGAGUCCGAGUUGUAAUCUGCAGAGGAAGCGUCUGGCGCGGCGCCGGCCUAGUUCCCUGGAACGGGACGCCGUAGAGGGUGACAGCCCCGUACGGUCGGCCGCCAAGCCUGUGUGUCGCUCCUUCGAAGAGUCGCGUAGUUUGGGAAUGCUGCGCAAAGUGGGAGGUAUGCUCCUCCUAAGGCUAAAUACCGGCCAGAGACCGAUAGCGCACAAGUAGAGUGAUCGAAAGAUGAAAAGUACCUUGAAAAUGGGGUUAAACAGUACGUGAAAUUGCCAAAGGGGAAGCGCUCGUGGCCAGACUCGCGCCCGGCGGAUCAUCCGGCUCUCCCGCCGGUGCACUCUGCCGGGCUCGGGCCAGCGUCGGUCGGCGCCGGUACUAAAAGGCGGUGCGAAAGUGGCUCCCUUCGGGGAGUGUUAUAGCGCGCCGCGUAAUGUGCUGGUGCCGUCCGAGGACCGCGCUUUAUGCAAGGACG